UUCACUGAAGAAUUAAAGUUGAUUACGUUUUUUUUAUAUAAACUUCCAUCAAAUUUUGUUUUCAAUAUUCUCGUUUUCAUGGAUUACAAAUGAGCACACGGAAAUUGAUGAUACGUUUGAUCUACUUAUGUGCAUGUACGUUCAAAAGCGUUUCUGUUGUCAGUAUUGCAUUGGCAUAUGUUCUAUGUAGCUCAGCAUGGGCAGAUCAACGGUCUGUGGAAAUGAAUGGACAUGAUUUCUUUCGAAGUAGUAAACAGCUGUGUAUAUUUUUUAUAUAAAAGUUUGGUGUUCGCCCUCUUCAUACCACCGCUCGAUUUGAAUAGAACACUGACAAUCAUGUACGAACAACAGAAACAAGGGAUCAAUUUUUGUUAUGUUGAUAUUGGCUCAGAUAAUGAUUUUUCAUGAAGUGUAUAUGAUUAUACAGGAAACAUCUACAAUACAGUUUAAAAUGUAUUUUUACAUAAUAACAUGUCAUACAACUAUGUUUAGCAAGUUGACAAUGUUAGUCUGUCAAAUAAAGGGACGACCAUUUGAUUUUCUUCGAAGGUUGGGUACUUUCAUUUUAAAAGAUAUAUCCUGGCUUAUUUAGAACUGAACAAAAUACAAAACAGAAAUUUUGGAAGUUGUUGAAAACAAUUUUGCACGUAGUUAUGCCGGGCCAAAUAAAUAAAUAAGCUUUCCCAGCAACAGAUAGAACUGGAUAUUCUUUUCGAGAAAAAAGAUCUCAUGAAUGUGCAGCCUCCUCCUAAAAGAAGAUCAAAUGGUCGGUCCCUUUUGCAAUUUGUUAAUAUAUACAUGUAUACGUACAUGUAUAUAAAUAUAGUGACAGCCGCAUAAUAUACAGUGCAAGAGUAUUCGUGUUUCUUUUGUUUUUAUUGUCUUAAUUUUGCAUAUAUACUUUAGCAUUAUGACAUUCACUUGUAUCUCUACCCAUGUUUUGUCAGGGAAAUGUAAUUAUUGUUGACAGUUAAUUGUUUCUAUUUUGUUUAUCA
rnacentral:lncRNA from 1 species